CGAAGAAGAGAAAGAGAAAAAUAUGAAAGGAAGAGGAAAGAACUGGAAGGGAGGAAAGGAAGAGCCAGAAAAGAAAGAGAUAAAAGGUUAGUCAAUAACCUUUACAAUUAAUUUUAUUUAAAAUACUAGCCUACAUAGACGUGAUAAAUAUAUACUCAAUAUUAUAAAACAUAAAAAAUAUAUAACAUUACAGAUCAAAUAUACAAAAAUCUACUAAUACCAAAUUUAGAUCAAAUUAAUUCAUUCACACAAACCAUAUAAAAAGUCAAAUUCAAUUCAAAAAUCACCUACCAUUAUCUUUCACGAGAAAUUAAAGGUGAUUCAGUUUCAAAUCCUACUCAGUCAGAAGCAAUUAAUUACAUUACGGGGAAUAAUGGUAUACUAAUUAGGAAACAAUUAUCCCAUGAUUUUAUCCCAGCCAAUCAUUUACAGCAUAUACUUACGAAGAACUUCAGAAAGGUCUGUGUUUUUAAUGCUUUAUUCCCUGGCUUCGUAACAGAAGUGGUAUUUAUAUCAAGAAUUGAAAGCUGCUGAUGAGAAUAUAUUGGGAAGAGGAGAUGGAAGAGGUACAGCUUGGUCGGAACAAAAUCAGCUGUUCACUUAAGAGCGACUUUUCUCUGCGAUGCGAAGUGCGAUGAUUUCCUCACGUGACCUGACUUGACCUGCGGCGGUUUAACCCUGACCUGACCUCGCCGACAAGUCAAGACCUUAAGGGAAUUUCUGAUCUAAGGAGGUAGAUAAAGGAAAUUCGGCAUCAAGCAACCGCUGGACCGAGAGCCGUUCCUCCGCCUGCUUUGUGCUUGAUUUUUUCGUUAAUAACCCGAUGUCUUUGUGAGAAUUUGUGAUUUAUUUUUUUUCCCCCGUCCAUGGUAGUGUGUAUGCGUGGCUAUAAACAUGCGCCAAAUAAAAUAUAUUUCAGUG